rnacentral:rRNA from 1 species
AGGACGAACGCUUGCGACGUGCCUAAGAAAUGCAAGUCGAACGAGGUAGCAAUACCUAGUGGCGAACGGUCGCGUAACACGUGGGCAACCUGCCCUAGAGCGGGGGAUAACAAUCCGAAAGGAUUGCUAAUACCGCAUGUGAACGGGAAUGGCAUCAUUUCCUGUUCAAAGCAGCAAUGCACUCUAGGAUGGGCCCGCGGCCUAUCAGCUAGUUGGUGGGGUAACGGCCUACCAAGGCUUCGACGGGUAGCUGGUCUGAGAGGACGAUCAGCCGGAUUGGGACUGAGAUACGGCCCAGACUCCUACGGGGGGCAGCAAUUAGGAAUCUUGCGCAAUGGGCGAAAGCCUGACGCAGCGACGUCGCGUGGAGGAUGAAAUCUUUCGGGAUGUAAACUCCUUUUUCAGGAAGAACAAAUGACGGUACCUGAAGAAUAAGCCCGGCUAACUACGUGCCAGCAGCCGC